CCAGACUCCUACGGGAGGCAGCAGUGGGGAAUAUUGGGCAAUGGGCGCAAGCCUGACCCAGCAACGCCGCGUGAAGGAAGAAGGCUUUCGGGUUGUAAACUUCUUUUAAGAGGGAAGAGUAGAAGACGGUACCUCUUGAAUAAGCCACGGCUAACUACGUGCCAGCAGCCGCGGUAAUACGUAGGUGGCAAGCGUUGUCCGGAUUUACUGGGUGUGAAGGGCGUGUAGCCGGGCCGGCAAGUCAGAUGUGAAAUCCCAAGGCUCAACCUUGGAACUGCAUUUGAAACUGUUUCCCUUGAGUGUCGGAGAGGUAAUCGGAAUUCCUUGUGUAGCGGUGAAAUGCGUAGAUAUAAGGAAGAACACCAGUGGCGAAGGCGGAUUACUGGACGAUAACUGACGGUGAGGCGCGAAAGCGUGGGGAGCAAACAGGAUUAGAUACCCUAGUACC
rnacentral:rRNA from 1 species